rnacentral:snRNA from 1 species
CACAUACAAAAAUUGAAACGAUAAUGAAGAUUAGCAUGGUCCUGCACAAUGACACAAUUUGUAAAGCUUCCAUAUU